rnacentral:lncRNA from 1 species
UUUAUGCGUGACUGUCCCAGAGUGAAAUUCUUCUCAUAUCCUCAUGGAAAGAAAAAGUCGGUAACCACUAAUUCAGAUUCACAAGAUGCUAACUCCGAUUCCUUCUUUGUUCAAAAGGUACAAAUGCCUUCUCUUUGAGAUUAUACCUAUAAUUGCCAUAGGCAAGCACUUGGUGGGGGUGAUUAAUAAAAUCUCUUUGAAGAUUUUUGUUUCGUUCAUUAGUUAAAGUGUGUUCAUAAUUUAUACGUACACUUGUCAGAGUAAGGGCACUGGUAAAAAUUCAUUUUUCCAUUUCAUCAAAUAGAUUGGUUAGGAUUAGGCUAAAUUGUCAAUUUUUUCAUUGCUACGAUCUGACGCAUAAAUCUCAUGAGCAGGUGAUUUACCUAGCUUGGACACAUUAAAUAUUAACAGGUGUUUUGAAAUGAGAGAGUCCUUGAAAUGGAUAUGGCACAGUGAACUUCCUAGAAGUUCAAUCUGCGAAUUAGCCACCGUCAGAAUUAGCAAUUGCUUAAAGCUACUCAACGUCUUCC